GACGAACGCUGGCGGCGUGCCUAAUACAUGCAAGUCGAACGCAGUGGGGACGGGUGCGUAACACGUGGGUAACCUCCCAUCUGAGUGGAUAACCCUUGGAAACUGCUGCUAACCUGCUACUGAUGGAUGGACUCGCGGUGGAUUAGCUCGUUGGUGGGGUAACGGCUCACCAAGGCGACGAUGCAUAGCGGACCUGAGAGGGUGAUCGGCCACACUGGGACUGAGACACGGCCCAGACUCCUACGGGAGGCAGCAGUAGGGAAUAUUCGGCAAUGGACGAAAGUCUGACGCAGCAACGCCGCGUGAGUGAAGAAGGUCUUCGGAUCGUAAAACUCUGUUGUUAGAGAAGCGGUAUCUAACCAGAAAGCCACGGCUAACUACGUGCCAGCAGCCGCGGUAAUUC
rnacentral:rRNA from 1 species